GAUGAACGCUGGCGGCGUGCCUAAUACAUGCAAGUCGAGCGAACAGACGAGGAGCUUGCUCCUCUGACGUUAGCGGCGGACGGGUGAGUAACACGUGGAUAACCUACCUAUAAGACUGGGAUAACUUCGGGAAACCGGAGCUAAUACCGGAUAAUAUAUUGAACCGCAUGGUUCAAUAGUGAAAGACGGUUUUGCUGUCACUUAUAGAUGGAUCCGCGCCGCAUUAGCUAGUUGGUAAGGUAACGGCUUACCAAGGCAACGAUGGGUAGCCGACCUGAGAGGGUCAUCGGCCACACUGGAACUGAGACACGGUCCAGACUCCUACGGGAGGCAGCAGUAGGGAAUCUUCCGCAAUGGGCGAAAGCCUGACGGAGCAACGCCGCGUGAGUGAUGAAGGUCUUCGGAUCGUAAAACUCUGUUAUUAGGGAAGAACAAAUGUGUAAGUAACUAUGCACGUCUUGACGGUACCUAAUCAGAAAGCCACGGCUAACUACGUG
rnacentral:rRNA from 1 species